rnacentral:rRNA from 1 species
CCUACGGGUGGCUGCAGUCGAGAAUCAUUCACAAUGGGGGAAACCCUGAUGGUGCGACGCCGCGUGGGGGAAUGAAGGUCUUCGGAUUGUAAACCCCUGUCAUGUGGGAGCACAUUAGAAAGAUAGUACCACAAGAGGAAGAGGCGGCUAACUCUGUGCCAGGAGCCGCGGUAAUACCGAGGUCUCAAGCGUUGUUCGGAAUCACUGGGCGUAAAGCGUGCGUAGGCUGUUUCGUAAGUCGUGGAUGAAAGGCCAGGGCUCAACCCGCGGACGGCAUAUGAUACUGCGAGACUAGAGUAAUGGAGGGGGAACCGGAAUUCUCGGUGUAGCAGUGAAAUGCGUAGAUAUCGGGAGGAACACUCGUGGCGAAGGCGGGUUCCUGGACAUUAACUGACGCUGAGGGACGAAGGCCAGGGGAGCGAAAGGGAUUAGAUACCCUAGUAGUC